rnacentral:misc_RNA from 1 species
GAUGAAGAACGCAGCGAAAUGCGAUAAGUAGUGUGAAUUGCAGAAUUCAGUGAAUCAUCGAAUCUUUGAACGCACAUUGCGCCCCUUGGUAUUCCAUGGGGCAUGCCUGUUCGAGCGUCAUUUGUACCUUCAAGCUCUGCUUGGUGUUGGGUGUUUGUCUCGCCUCUGCGCGUAGACUCGCCUCAAAACAAUUGGCAGCCGGCGUAUUGAUUUCGGAGCGCAGUACAUCUCGCGCCUUGCACUCAUAACGACGACGUCCAAAAGUACAUUUUUACACUCUUGACCUCGGAUCAGGUAGGGAUACCCGCUGAACUUAAACAUAUCAAUAAGCGGAGGA